rnacentral:rRNA from 1 species
UACGUAGGGUGCAAGCGUUGUCCGGAAUUAUUGGGCGUAAAGAGCUCGUAGGCGGUCUGUCGCGUCGGCUGUGAAAACCCGGAGCUCAACUCCGGGCCUGCAGUCGAUACGGGCAGACUGGAGUUCGGCAGGGGAGACUGGAAUUCCUGGUGUAGCGGUGAAAUGCGCAGAUAUCAGGAGGAACACCGGUGGCGAAGGCGGGUCUCUGGGCCGAUACUGACGCUGAGGAGCGAAAGCAUGGGUAGCGAACAGG